ensembl:lncRNA
CUGAAUACCGGAGGGGGGUGUAGGACAUCCCAUCUCUCUGGCUACAAUGCUUAUUUGUAUGGCUUCCAAGGGGUGUUGAUGAUGAACCUCUGUUAGGAAUACAAUCCUGUCAGCCACACAGGAUUACUCAUGUGUCAAUGACUAUCUGGGAGGACGUAAAGAGGAGUAUCCUCCCACGUUGUGAAGGGUCAAAACUGAACCUGGAAUUUCACAGAAGAGCUGAGAAUGUCGACCAUAGUGAAAGAAUAAUAAUAUAAGAAUCAAGGAAAUGGAGAAUGACACCAGCAUCCUGGAGCCUUUUGUAUCAGCCAUUCCAAGCAGAACUUUGGAUCAUAACUAAAUAGAAGGACAAAAGUUGAAAAAAGUAAAUAGAGAAUGAUGGAAUCAUGAAAUCAAUAACCUGGAAAUCAGCAAAGCAAGAGACACUCUAGAGGCC